UGAUGAUGAUGAGGAAAAUUAAUGAGGAAGGAUUUAAAAUUGCCCCACGCUUGGUAAAAGUUCUCUCUAGAUUUUUGUUUAAACCUAAAGAUUUCACUUCUCAGCUU